rnacentral:tRNA from 3 species
GGAAGGGUGCGAGAGCGGCCGAAUCGGCACGCUUGGAAAGCGUGUGAAGUGAAAGCUUCCGUGGGUUCGAAUCCCACCCCUUCCGCCA